rnacentral:rRNA from 1 species
GAUGAACGCUGGCGGCGUGCCUAAUACAUGCAAGUCGAGCGAACGGACGAGAAGCUUGCUUCUCUGAUGUUAGCGGCGGACGGGUGAGUAACACGUGGAUAACCUACCUAUAAGACUGGGAUAACUUCGGGAAACCGGAGCUAAUACCGGAUAAUAUUUUGAACCGCAUGGUUCAAAAGUGAAAGACGGUCUUGCUGUCACUUAUAGAUGGAUCCGCGCUGCAUUAGCUAGUUGGUAAGGUAACGGCUUACCAAGGCAACGAUGCAUAGCCGACCUGAGAGAGGGAUCCGCCACACAGCAACAGAGACACGGUCCAGACUCCUACGGGAGGCAGCAGUAGGGAAUCUACCGCAAUGGGCGAAAGCCUGACGGAGCAACGCCGCGUGAGUGAUGAAGGUCUUCGGAUCGUAAAACUCUGUUAUUAGGGAAGAACAUAUGUGUAAGUAACUGUGCACAUCUUGACGGUACCUAAUCAGAAAGCCACGGCUAACUACGU